AGGCACUUCUGCCUUCUUGCCCCAAUGUUGCAUUUUCCAAGACCACCCUGGCCCGCCAUGCCCCCAUUCUGAGCCUAUAAAAACCCGAGACCCUAGCAGGGCAGAGGCAGAAACUGCUGGAUGCUGAGAGGAACGCAUCAGUGGAAGAAAACAAGCGGCUGGACGUGGAGAGGACGUCAAGGGAGCAUGCCGGCGGAAGAGCACACCACAGACGCCGGCAGGCCACCGAGCGGCAGGACCAGGCGGAGUUUGGCCGGGGCAGUCGGAGGAGAGCUAGGCCACUAAGCAGCUCAACUCCAGGAGAUAAACCAUCUCCCUUGUGGCUCCUCCGUCGGCUGAGAGCUGCUUCCACUCAAUAACACUUUGCACUCGUUCUCCAAGCCCCCGUGUGAUCCGAUUCUUCUGGUACACCCAGGCAAGAACCCAGGAUACAGAAAGGCCUCGGUCCUUUCCACAAGUACCUCUACUUGAGGUACUCAUUGACCUGGUUAACACAAGCUGCCUACAGACGCCAAAACUAAGGGCACCCUGGAACACAGGCUUCAGCUGUAAACAUUCACCCCUGGGCACUGCCGUGGGGUGGGAGCCUGCCUGAGUGUAUGCUCCCCUAGAGGUUUGAGCUGCGGGGCACUGAAGAAGUGAGCCACACUCCCAUCGCACACUGCGAGGGGGACAAAGGAACUUUUCCUCUUUUAACUGGGGCCUCAUCUGGAAUCUCGGAAGGUGAAUGUCUGCCUUCGAAAACCCUACCACCUGUCUUUCUUGUGGGAGCUGCGUGCGAUGACCAUGAGGAGCCACUAACUAACAAAUCAUGCCCACCGGAUGCUGCAACCUGCACCACGUAGCUUAGCAGUGUUAUUUCUGUGAGCCAGCGAGACUCCCGACAAGCAGCUUUGUGUCGGCCUGCUCCAUGUCACCCUCUUUUGCCUUAAAAACCUGCCUAUAAUGAAGGCCAAAGAAAGCAAGCUCAUGGCCGGGAAGCUCACAGCCAGGCGUACGUGGGUGUGAGUCUUCUGGGCUGCUGUCCUCACCCUGGCUCAAGUCAACUCUUUAAGUUAGACUUCAUGCCUCAGCCUCUUCCUUUUAGGUGAACACUGAUGGGAAUACAGGAAGGGCCCCCAUCCUUCCCUGUCUGAAGCUCAGACUCCGCAUGAGAGGACUUCCCACUCCAUCUCAGGAUGGAGACAGCCUGCUGAGGAUGCAGCUUUGUCCAAUGAGGUCAGGAGGGCUGGUGGCAGCGUCUGUUAAUUCCGUUGGGGCAGCCAGUGGCAACUGGCAGUUAUUCCAGCUGAGGAUGCUGGGAUGGAUUUUUUUUUUUUUUUUUUUUUUUUGAGACAGGGUCUUCCUCCGUCAUCCAGGCUGGAGUGCAAUGGCAUGAUCUCGACUCACUGCAGCCUCAACCUCCUGGGUUCAAGCAACUCUUCUGCCUCAGCCUCCCAAGAAGCUGGGAUUACAGACGUGCACCACCAAGCCUGGCUAAUUUUUGUAUUAAUAGAGGGUUUCACCGUGUUGGCCAGGCUGGUCUCGAACUCCUGACCUCGUGAUCCUCUGCUUCGGCCUCCCAAAUUGUGGGGAUUACAGGCGUGAGCCACCGCACCUGGCCUGGGACGGAAUUUUAAGUGAACUGCGGCCCUUAGCUCAUGAGCCCAGCUUCGGUGUCUGAUGAAACGACACCGCAGGGAUGGGGGAGAGGGGAAGAUUCGCAGGUCACGCCGAAACCUCUGGUUAGCCCCGGCUUCCACAUCCUUCCCAAAAUCUUUAGCCCAAGUGCCGCACAGCCCCUUUUGCAUGUCUUCCCCACUCCUUGGUGGCAGAGGCCCCUGUUGGUAAAGCAACAAUAGAGAAGUGGAGAAGAUAAAGAGCUGUGAAAACUGCCCCAGAGAAGCUGCAAGAAGCUUUGCUGGAAUCAGGUUUUGCAUCUCCGAAUCGGAGCUCCAUUUGUUGGGUCGGGGACCAUGCUUAGUGGUUCAAGAACUGACAGAAGAGGUGUUUGCAAAAUGCUUGUUGGGAGGAUAAACAGCUAAAGGAAAUUUUAUCUGAGCCUGAGAACCGCCUGCACCAGCACAAAAGUAAAGCCCCAGCGCCCUCGGGCCAGGCCUGCUGGAAAAAUUCCCAUGUGUCAGCCCCAGGAAGACGUGGGCAAGAUGAGGCGUAUCCUGACCAACGCAGGAAAUGGCCCUGCUCUUCUGCUGGCCCCUCUUCCACCAUCGAGGCCGCUCAUCCAAGCGGCGGGAAGUAAGAGGGUCAACUUUUGCACGGCCAUUGAGAGGUUUCCUGGAAACCUGGCUCUCUCCCCACCGUUGCCCCAUGAGCAUGGUGGUGACGAGCUUGGGCUCUGAGAUCAGAAAGUCUCAAGUGUGAAACCUCAGUCUUCUUCCUUAUUAGCUGUGAGACUUUGGGCAAAUUACUUAACCUCUCUGAACCUUAGUUUCCUCAAACUGUAAAAUGGGGCAAAUGUUGGGUGACACUCAGCAUAACGUCAGAAAUAGUGCCCAAUAAAUGUUGAUCUCAUCGGCCCCACA
ensembl:lncRNA LINC02575 long intergenic non-protein coding RNA 2575